rnacentral:lncRNA from 1 species
CUAGAGCCAGGGGAGCCCUCAGGGGGGAACAGGCCCCCAGGUACCCCGAGAACAUCGUAGUCGGGGCUGCUGCCAGGCAUGAUCACGGGGCAGCAGAUGCCUGCACCCUGCACUUCGCUGCCCAAGGUGGGGGCAGCCGGGCAGGAGGGAAACUAAGGAAGGCCCCCCCGCCGGCACGUGAAAGGGCAUCCUCGGAGGUCCCCGCUCUGCAGCUCAGCUGGAGGAAACGCCCUGGGAAAGGCCGCGACGCGGGCGCCUGGCCCCGGGAGCCACUUGGAGGUGCCACCGCAGAACCUCCUGCCCAGCAGGGUCGGCCAGCUGCUGCCACCCCAGCCCAGCCCAGAACACCCCCCACCUGCUUUCCCAGAGUGCACCUGGGCCGUGGGGACACCACGGGGAGGUUGUGCAAAUGCUGCCCUGUGUCCCCCUCUUGCCCCGGAGAUGCCUGCCCCCCCCCAGGGGCCCUGGGCGCCCACAUCCCCUCCCAUGAGGCAGAGCAUGAGCAGCAGGGGUUGGAAAGGUGA